AAUAGAUACCCGGGUAGUCCACGCCGUAAACGAUGUCGACUUGGAGGUUGUGCCCUUGAGGCGUGGCUUCCGGAGCUAACGCGUUAAGUCGACCGCCUGGGGAGUACGGCCGCAAGGUUAAAACUCAAAUGAAUUGACGGGGGGCCCGCACAAGCGGUGGAGCAUGUGGUUUAAUUCGAUGCAACGCGAAGAACCUUACCUACUCUUGACAUCCAGAGAACUUAGCAGAGAUGCUUUGGUGCCUUCGGGAACUCUGAGACAGGUGCUGCAUGGCUGUCGUCAGCUCGUGUUGUGAAAUGUUGGGUUAAGUCCCGCAACGAGCGCAACCCUUAUCCUUUGUUGCCAGCGGUUAGGCCGGGAACUCAAAGGAGACUGCCAGUGAUAAACUGGAGGAAGGUGGGGAUGACGUCAAGUCAUCAUGGCCCUUACGAGUAGGGCUACACACGUGCUACAAUGGCAUAUACAAAGAGAAGCGACCUCGCGAGAGCAAGCGGACCUCAUAAAGUAUGUCGUAGUCCGGA
rnacentral:rRNA from 1 species